GACGAACGCUGGCGGCGUGCUUAACACAUGCAAGUCGAACGGUAAGGCCCUUCGGGGUACACGAGUGGCGAACGGGUGAGUAACACGUGGGUGAUCUGCCCUGCACUUCGGGAUAAGCCUGGGAAACUGAGUCUAAUACCGGAUAGGACCCUGGGAUGCAUGUCCUGGGGUGGAAAGCUUUUGCGGUGUGGGAUGGGCCCGCGGCCUAUCAGCUUGUUGGUGGGGUGAUGGCCUACCAAGGCGACGACGGGUCGCCGGCCCGAGGGGGUGACCGACCAAACUGGGACUGAGAUACGGCCCAGACUCCUACGGGAGGCAGCGGUGGGGAAUAUUGCACAAUGGGCGCAAGCCUGAUGCAGCGACGCCGCGUGAGGGAUGACGGCCUUCGGGUUGUAAACCUCUUUCAGCACCGACGAAGCGCAAGUGACGGUAGGUGCAGAAGAAGGACCGGCCAACUACGUGCCAGCAGCCGCCGUAA
rnacentral:rRNA from 1 species